rnacentral:tRNA from 1 species
CAGCGUGUAGCUCAACGAGACAGAGCGCCGGGCUUGAGCCCCGGUGGGUGCGGGUGCGAGGCCCGCCACGCUGG